rnacentral:rRNA from 1 species
UGGCGGCAUGCCUAACACAUGCAAGUCGAACGAGGGCUUCGGCCCUAGUGGCGCACGGGUGAGUAACGCGUGGGAACCUGCCCUGUGGUACGGAAUAACUCCGGGAAACUGGAGCUAAUGCCGUAUGUGUCCUGCGGGACAAAGAUUUAUCGCCAUGGGAUGGGCCCGCGUAGGAUUAGCUUGUUGGUGGGGUAACGGCCUACCAAGGCUACGAUCCUUAGCUGGUCUGAGAGGAUGAUCAGCCACACUGGGACUGAGACACGGCCCAGACUCCUACGGGAGGCAGCAGUGGGGAAUAUUGGACAAUGGGCGCAAGCCUGAUCCAGCAAUGCCGCGUGAGUGAUGAAGGCCUUCGGGUUGUAAAGCUCUUUCGCACGCGACGAUGAUGACGGUAGCGUGAGAAGAAGCCCCGGCUAACUUCGUGCCAGCAGCCGCGGUAAUACGAAGGGGGCUAGCGUUGUUCGGAAUUACUGGGCGUAAAGGGCGCGUAGGCGGUACUUCAAGUCAGGCGUGAAAGCCCCGGGCUCAACCUGGGAACCGCGCUUGAGACUGGAGAACUAGAGUUCGGGAGAGGAUGGUGGAAUUCCCAGUGUAGAGGUGAAAUUCGUAGAUAUUGGGAAGAACACCGAUGGCGAAGGCAGCCAUCUGGACCGACACUGACGCUGAGGCGCGAAAGCGUGGGGAGCAAACAGG